AAUAUAAUAAUAGUGAUCUUAAUAUAAUAAAUGUAUUUUUAUGAUGAUAUACAUAGAAAAAAUAUAUGUGUAGAUCACAUAUGUUAUUUUUGCUUUUUACAUCGAUGUUUCUUCUGAAGAAAUCAUCACUUUUUUAUCAGCUGCUUUCACACAAAAAUAAAAACAUUUACUUUGCUAUUUAACUUAAUACAAUAAAUAUUUAUAAUAAAUAUAAUGUUUAAUAGCAAAUAUCCAAUUGAUUUAAAAGGCUGCAAAUUAUAUAAAACAAGCCAAUCCUCCACGCUAAAAACAAUGGCAACUGGCCACAGGGAUUAAGUUGUGGUUUACAAGUUUAAAAAGGGCCCACACAUCGGUUGAGCUACGUAUCUUUACCGACUUUUUGUCUUCAAAUGCCAAUUUGCCCAUAAUAUCUUCGGCUCCGAUUUGCUCAGGGACAAUAUGUAGCCUUCGUAAUGAUGUUAUUGACUGACUUCAAUAGCUGUGGUAAAUCUUCCUUGUAAGUUAUGCAAGGAAUUGGCCCGAUUUGGUUGAAAUUUGGCACACAUAAAGACACCUGAUGGCAUUGCAAUGUUAUGUUCGAAAAAUCGAAAUUAAAUAGUAAAAAUUCGGAGUUAUGUUAGUAUUUUGUUGCAAAUUUUAAUUGAUUUUUUUAAAUACUUCCUGUAGCUCAAAUAUCUGAAAUUUGAAAUAUGUAUAUGGAUGUAGACAUCUGAUAACAAUAUAGUGUAAUGUUCGAAUUUUAAAAAUUUCAAGUUAUAUCGAAAAAAAAAUAUUUUAAAAAUGUGUAGACCUUGUGGUUUGGAAAAAUCAAAGCAAAUUUUGAAAAAAUCAAUUUUUUUUUGAAUUUUCUUGGUUUGUGCUAAAACUAAACAAAAACUGAAACAGUUAAUAAAUUAUAUAAUACUUAAAGCUUGUCCUAAAAGUAAAGUAAUUUUUAAAAUAAACUUAUUUUUAAAUAUAAACAAAAGUUUGAUUUAUGUAUACAUAUUAUUGAUUACGGUAGCUUAAAAAGCCAAAUAG